rnacentral:rRNA from 1 species
UUAGAGGAAGUAAAAGUCGUAACAAGGUUUCCGUAGGUGAACCUGCGGAAGGAUCAUUAUCGAAUCCUACCAGGGAGGGGAGGGAAGACGGAUGGAGGAGUCAAGGCUGUCGCCGGCAACGUGCACGCCCCUUUCUCUUUCGUGGAACCUCCCCUUUCUAGUUUCCUUAUCCACCUGUGCACCCUUUGUAGGCCCUCGAAAGAGGAUCUACGUUUUCUCUAUAUACGCUUUUUGCUAUGCAUGUCCAGAAUGUAUACAAACUUUACAACUUUCAGCAACGGAUCUCUUGGCUCUCGCAUCGAUGAAGAACGCAGCGAAUUGCGAUAAGUAAUGUGAAUUGCAGAUUUUCAGUGAAUCAUCGAAUCUUUGAACGCACCUUGCGCUCCUUGGUAUUCCGAGGAGCAUGCCUGUUUGAGUGUCAUCGAAUUCUCAACCAUGUCUUGAAUUAGGCAUGGCUUGGACUUGGGGGUUGCUGGCACACGUUGUCAGCUCUCCUGAAAUGCAUUAGCGAUGUUCAGCAAGCCUGAACGUGCACGGCCUUUUCGACGUGAUAACGAUCGUCGUGGGCUGGAGCGUAGGGUGAGCAGUGAAUCGCUUCUAAUCUAUACCUCAGUUACUAGUUGGUCGUGAGACUGACGAACAUGCGAGGCUUGAUCUUGGACCCCAAGCCUUAGUUACUAGUCGGUCGUGAGGCCGAUGAAUGCGCAGGGUUAGGACCAUUUGAACUCUUGACCUCAAAUCAGGUAGGACUACCCGCUGAACUUAAGCAUA